AGAGGUCUUACAGGCGCCACAGACACCUAUCAGCCUUUUGUAAGGAGGAGCAGCUCGAGUGCGGUGCGGUCAGUAGCCCUUCAAAUUAGAAAAGUGAGGAUGAUCUUGUCAAUGCUGAGAUUUUCAUGCAUCAACAGCCACUACAUCUGGAUCAGAUUGAACAAGAAACAGACAGCAAGGGUUGUCAGAUCAGAAACAGAAUGACACACAAACACAAGAAACUUCACAUGCAGAUCAACAUGCAAUUUGAAGACGUGUGAUAAAAUACAGAGAGGUGAAGUAGUGUGUCUUUCCAGAUCCCCAAAUCAUUCCCCCUUAAAAGAUGAGCCUGAAGAGGAGAUUUGGGAAGAUGCUGUUUCAUAAGUCGCUUUGCCAGAUCACCUGUGGUCAGGAUGUCUGCUAACAAGAUGCCUUGCUGGUCUGAGCGAGUUAAACGGCUUACACAGACAGUCCAGAAGUUCUGAAGUCCAUCUUCGAUUUCAUUGAUGCUGUCAUCGUAUUAAGUACAGCAUGAGCCAGAAUAGAUGGGUGAUGGUGGCCAUAAGAAGACUGUCAACUAAACCAACAACAAAAUUCAUAUUUGCAGUUUUUCUUGAAUAAAGUUUUUCUAUUCAGAUUAAUAAAAUGACUUUUAAACAUGAUUUUGUUUCAUAUUUUAUGAUUUUAUUCUAUAUUUAGAAAAUUCCACUUCUGCACUACUAACUGGAAACCUAACU